UACGUAGGGUGCGAGCGUUAAUCGGAAUUACUGGGCGUAAAGCGUGCGCAGGUGGUUUUGUAAGCCAGAUGUGAAAUCCCCGGGCUUAACCUGGGAAUGGCAUUUGGGACUGCAAGGCUCGAGUGCGGCAGAGGAGACUGGAAUUCCUGGUGUAGCAGUGAAAUGCGUAGAUAUGCGGAGGAACACCGGUGGCGAAGGCAAUCCCCUGGGCCUGCACUGACGCUCAUGCACGAAAGCGUGGGGAGCAAACAGG
rnacentral:rRNA from 1 species